rnacentral:rRNA from 1 species
UACGUAGGGGGCAAGCGUUGUCCGGAUUUAUUGGGCGUAAAGAGCGUGUAGGCGGUUAGGUAGGUCCGUUGUGAAAACUCGAGGCUCAACCUCGAGACGCCGAUGGAAACCAUCUAACUAGAGUCCGGAAGAGGAGAGUGGAAUUCCGAGUGUAGAGGUGAAAUUCGUAGAUAUUCGGAAGAACACCAGUGGCGAAGGCGGCUCACUGGACGACUGUUGACGCUGAGGUACGAAAGCGUGGGGAGCAAACAGG